AGUGAACGCUGGCGGCAGGCCUAACACAUGCAAGUCGAACGAGUGGCGGACGGGUGAGGAAUACAUUGGAGUCUACUCUGUCGAGGGGGAUAACGAUGGGAAACUUACGCUAAUACCGCAUAGGAUGGAAUGAGACGAUGUCGGAUUAGCUAGUUGGUGGGGUAAAGGCCUACAAAGGCGACGAUCCGUAACUGGUCUGAGAGGAUGAUCAGUCACACUGGAACUGAGACACGGUCCAGACUCCUACCGGAGGCAGCAGUUGGGAAUAUUGGACAAUGGGCGAAAGCCUGAUCCAGCCAUGCCGCGUGUGUGAAGAAGGUCUUCGGAUUGUAAAGCACUUUCAGCGGGGAGGCGUUACCCGCAGAAGAAGCACCGGCUAACUCCGUGCCAGCAGCCGCGGUAAUUC
rnacentral:rRNA from 1 species